ACUCAAAGGAAUUGACGGGGGCCCGCACAAGCGGUGGAGCAUGUGGUUUAAUUCGACGCAACGCGAAGAACCUUACCAGGCCUUGACAUCCGUCCGAAAGCCCAAGAGAUUGGGCCCCCCUUCGGGGCGGGCGGACAGGUGGUGCAUGGUUGUCGUCAGCUCGUGUCGUGAGAUGUUGGGUUAAGUCCCGCAACGAGCGCAACCCUUGUUGUUAGUUGCCAUCAUUAAGUUGGGCACUCUAAUGAGACUGCCGGUGACAAACCGGAGGAAGGUGGGGACGACGUCAAAUCAUCAUGCCCUUUAUGGCCUGGGCUACACACGUGCUACAAUGGCCUGUACAGAGGGAAGCCAAGGAGCGAUCCGGAGCAAAUCCCAAAAAGCAGGUCCCAGUUCGGAUUGCAGGCUGCAACUCGCCUGCAUGAAGUCGGAAUCGCUAGUAAUCGCAGAUCAGCACGCUGCGGUGAAUACGUUCCCGGGCCUUGUACACACCGCCCGU
rnacentral:rRNA from 1 species